AGAAGUCAGCACAUGCCGGGGGUGUCAGAAGGUGAGAAGUACUGGGGGUAGCAAAGCAGGGAAGGCAGGAGGAACGGGGAGAUGCAGGGCACUCCUGGCACCACCCGGAUUCCCCUGCUGGCCCCCUUCCACCCUGAGCACCGCCGGGGGUGACUGCCUUCAUCCAAGUGGGAGUGUCUCCCAGGCCACAGCCAGUGACCAAAACAGACUGACACGGGGAGCAGGACGGAGGGGAGGGCAGAAGCCUGGCCCCCUGAGAGGAAGGACUAGGAAAGAUUCUGGUGCACAGGCAUUCACAGCAGCACCAGUCACAAUGGCCAAAAGGUAGGAACAGCCCAAGUGCCCAUCAGGAGAUGACAAAUAACACGAGGGGCGCCUCCAUGCAGGGGAUAUUGUUGAGCCGUGAAGAGGAAUGCCACUCCUGUGAACUCAACUUGCUCUGAAAAGUAAAGUCUAUUCAAAAUGAAAGUGCGGCGGGAAGGAAGGAAAUUCUGACUCAGGCUCUAACGUAAAUGAACUUUGAAGACACGAUGCUAAGUGAAAGUAGCCAGAUGCAUGAUUCCGGUUAAAUAAAGUGCCUAGAGCAGGCGGAUUCACAGAGACAGACAGUACGUUAGCGCUUACCAGGGGCUGGGGGACGGGAAUGACAGUUAUUGCUUAAUGGGGACAGAGUCUGCUUGGAGUGAUGAAAACCUUUCAGAACAGGAGAGUGGUGAUGGUCAAGCAACACUGUGAAUGUCCUUAAUACCACUGAAUUGUACCUUUAAAAAUGGCUAAAGUGGUACAUUUUAUGUUAUGUGUAUUUUACCACAAUUGAAAAUAAAGCAAGGCUGGAUGCAGUGGCUCACGCCUGUAAUCCUGGCAGUUUGGGAGGCCAAAGCAGGAAGAUUGCUUGAGGCCAGGAGUUAAAGACCAGCCUGGGCAACAUAGUGAGACCUAGUCUCUACAAAAAAUAAAAAAAUUAGCCAGGCACAGUGGUACACUCCUGUAGUCCCAACUACUCAGGAGGCUGAGGCAGGAGAAUCGCUUGAUCCUUGGAGGUGGAGGCUGCAGUGAGCUGUGAUGGUACCAUUGCACUCCAGCCUGGGCAAGAGAGUGAAACCCUGUCUCAAAAAUAAUGCAAAAAACAAAAAACAAAACACACACACACACACACACACACACAUCCUGACCCACCUGGCUACAGAUGGGACAAACCCUGGUGGAGUUCACAUAUCAGAGCCCCCCGUGGGUCCAGGCUGAGGCCGCCCUCCCUCCCUCUCCUGUAAAAACCUCUCUCUCUGGCUCUGCUUCUGGGGCCCUGGAUCUAGGUCAGGAGGGCUGUGAUUUAAAACAAGGUGCCAGGGAGGCCUGGUUGUGGCGGUGAAUCCUGAAAGGGAGCCAUCAGCAACUUAAUGAGAAAUAGACGAAACCCUGUUCUCAGCCGGGCGCGGUGGCUCACACCUGUAAUCCCGGCACUUUGAGAGGCCAAGGCAGGUGGAUCACUUGAGAUCAGGAGUUUGAGACCAGCCUGGCAGAUGUGGUGAAAUCCUGUCUCUAUUAAAAAUACAAAAAUUAGCUGG
rnacentral:lncRNA from 1 species